CGCUGGUGCUGAUCUGCGCUCAGGCCGCCUGUCGCCGCCGAGCGCGCCCCGGGGCCGGACAGAGAGGCGCGGGCGCGCCCGGAAGCCUCGGGAAAGCCCGAGGAGCGGCGCCCGGCCGGGCCGGCUAUGCCUCCCGCUGCAGCGCGGACGCCGCGCUGUGCUGCUACCUCUUCAACUGCACCGCGGCUACAGCAGCUACAGCCUCCACCUCCGCCUCGGCCGGACGCUCCCUCUCUUUGCUAUGAGUUCACCUUCAUUCCUAAGCCCAGCCCUGGACAACCCUGGUGUGAGGUUCAAGGCCAGGUCAUGAAAAGACUUUGGUUUCCUAUGACUGUGGCAGCCAGGAGGUCAAAUCCUUGAGUCUUCUGGGAGAGGAGGUGAAUGGCACAAGGGCCUGGAGAGCACAGGCCGACACUCUGAGAGAUGUUGGGGACUUGCUCAGACAGCAAUUGCCGGACGUUAAACGAGAGACAUACACGGACAGGGACCCUCUCCCGCUGCAGCGCAGGAUGCUGUGUCAGUGUGAAGCCAAUGGACGCACGCGCGCAUCCUGGCAGUUCGGCUCCCAAGGACAGACUUUCCUCGUCUUUGACUCGGAGAACAGAACCUGGAAGGUGCUUCACCCUGGAGGCAGACGGAUGAAAGAGAGGUGGGAGAGUGACAGGGAUGUGACAGAGUUCUUCAGGAAGAUCUCCAUGGGAGACUGCAGGAGCUGGCUUGAAAGUUUCAUGGUGCACUGGGAGAAAAUGCUGGAGACAACAGGUACCUGAGAAGAGGAGGAGGAAGGGACAGCUCUCUGGAGACAAGAGCAACACAGCUCACCUUGUGUGUGUGUGUGUGUGUGUGUGUGAGAAAGGGUGAUUCAUCCACGGUGAGUUCUUCCUGGGAGAAUAAGGGCCAUAGGUCGCUUCUACCAUGCUUCUUUCCCCUUCUCACCUCUUGACAUGUCUUCUUCUCUGCACAUGCCUCUGGUCCACUCACCAGGGAUCUUGCUGACCUCAAACAUGAGGGCAUCAUUCUCUUUCCAGACCUUUACUUCUCACUGUUCCCUCUUCUCAGCCUCACUUUUCUUUUUCAUCUCACCUGAUCUAUUUCUGGAAAUCCUUCAAUACCACUAACUGUCCACUCCUGAGAGGACUGCUCUCCCACCACCCUCAGGUGUCACCUCCUCUGUCACAUCAGCAGUGAUUGGUUACAUUGGAACUCUUGUUUCCCUCGUUAGCUGGAUGAGCCUCUUGGGGACAGGGCCCAUCUCCUCUGUCCUUUCCUACCAAGGAACUGUGACAAUGGCUGCCACAAGUAGAAGACUAGAAAAUGUCUACAUUGUAGGAUUAUCUGGGGCAGCAGGAGUUGAGAGGGAGUCUCCUCAGAGGAGGUUUCGGGUCCGUCCAAAGGCCGUCAUUCUUCCUUUUUGAUUUCAACAUCACCAACCACGGCCCCAGAUACAGGCUGAUUUAGGGCACGGCCAACAUACCCAUCAGCUGGAACCUCCCGAUGACCCACUCCAGUUCUAUUCUGGGCGUCAUAGAAUGCAUCCCUCAUGGUAACAGGUACCGAGAGCAGAUACCCUGGUGUUAGGGUUGAGGGAAAGGUGAAUUAUCAGCCCAACCCUGCCCCCUCACUGAACUUUCUCAUCAUGGAAAUGCGACUGGGAAACUAAGGCCUCAUAUCAUUCCAUAGCAAUAACUUGGCCAAGCUCAGCCCUGGGUUCUGCUGUCUCCUCACUGGAAAGGCCAGUGGGAAAGGGGAGGGACCCGCCCCAAGGCUUAAGGCCUGUUGAUACUAAAGGGGUUUAGCAAAGUCAGGCCUGACUUAGACCAGAUUUCCUGUAUGUGAGUCUGUUUGGGUCCAGUGGGAGGUGGUGUGGAAACAGCAGGCACACAAGACAAGGGCAUUACUCACAUUUGAGCGAGAGUCACACGGUUCUUCUACAUGUUGUGUCAAGGGGAAGGGGACUCAUCCAGGGGGCUAAGAGCAGAGGGGCCUGGGUCUAAGCCCAGGAGCAGGGCUGGGAAGGCCUUGCAGCCUCAACUCAAAAGGCUGGAGUGUAGGGCUGCGUUCUCACAGAAAGUUCCUUGGCUCCCAGCAGGUGAGACAGAAGGCACACAGUAGGGUCUACGCAGGUGAUAUUAAGAGGAGACUAGUUCUCCAUGGAACAAGGGGAAUUCUGACUCAGCCUUUGGCAUGCAGCUGGCAGCCAGCCUCCUGCAAACCCCAGAUCCUGAGUCAUUGAGCAGCCCCUCCCUGGAGCAGAGGUGACUCAGGAGGUAGGUGGGACUGAGCUGCUGUUGAUGUCAUAGCUGAGCUGCACCAGGAAUGGAUGGGGGUAGGGACCAUCACACUGAAAACUAUCUAUGCUGCUAGCUAAGAGGCUGGGCGAGGAAGAGAAGAAAGAUGUUUGCCAGCAACCCUCCCCAAGGCUACAGGUGUCAGGAUGCAGACCCUUCUCUUCCAUCAGAGCUCCCACCAGGUGCUUUAGGCCCUCUCAUCAGAGGGAGAAUCAGGACCUGAGUACAGCGAGCAGGCUAACGAUGCUCCCAAGAAGGCCCCGAGAGUGUGGUCCGUGUCACGACUCUGCCUUUUGUUUGGCUGCCUUUGGAUCACCUGCUCUUCAUUUCUAGACCACCAGGAGCUCAGACCUUGCAAAUCCAGAGACCACCAUGAGAUCAUGAAGAGACAGUCUGUGCAACAUCUCAGGUCCCUCAUUGCAUUGGGCAAUUCUCCUAUUCAGUGCCUUUCCUUAACAUAUUGUGCCACUUCCUCUUGGUGCUCACCCCCCACCCCCCCCACACACACACAGCAGUGACUGUCCUGUGAUCCCUCCACCCUGGCUCGCCUCCUUCAGUGAGAAGUCCGUCUUCACAGCAGAAGCAGCUCUACUUCUAAGAGUUGUUUUCUUUCCCCUCAGACACAGGAUCAGUAUCCAGUAUAUACAGUGACCUCCUACAAAUCCAUCAGAAAAAGUCCGAUUCUCCUAACAUUUGAGCAAAUGUUUUGAGGAGUUCAGAGAAGGUGAAUAAGCCUAUGGGAAGAUGGAAUGUGUCCCAAAUCAUCCAGAUCACACAGAAGAACAAUGGGCACCCUUACAUACCCAGUGAAUGGAAACACUGUGAAAUAUAUCAGGUGGUGGACAGGAAAUGGAAUGAUGUCCCAAUCUCCCCGACCCUUUACGACAUCCAUCUUACACCGUUAGUAGGAGUAUAAAUGGAGUCACUCCUUUGACAUGUGUUUUACCAGAUCCCCACAGUGGACGAUGUGUUCUUCCUACCACACAGCCAUCCCACUGUUAAUUCCAGGCUGGCGAACGUGUACCACAGAGCAUGUAGAGAUAUUGUUCAUUGUAGGGCUAUGUGGCAUAGAAAAAGCGAGCAUUAAGAUAUCCAACUGAAGUAGGAUAUAUUUUUUAAAAUGGUUAAAAGAUUUCUAUUUCUACUUCUAUUUCAGAGUAGAUUAUCUGAAAUUCUAUUAAAAAUAAAACCACCACAUGACAGACACAAAACUUUUAAACCUUUCCAAUACAUAUUUGAAAACUUCUGGUUGACAUACAAUAACAGUGGUGACAUGAAUCCAAAUCUCUCCACAUACAUUUAAAAAUUACCCAGGUCAACAAAAGGGGCAAAUAAAAUACCUUAACCCACAUCUUCAGCUGAUCAAGGACAUGAAAAUACCUUAAUCCAUCAGUUCCUUUGACUCAAAAGAACAUUAUUAUGACAAUUUGAAACUUGUGGUGAUUAUAUCAUGGUGAUAUAGGGGAGUGGCCUGCUUAGGAAAUACAUACUAAGUAUAUGGCAUCAGAUGACGCCAUGAAAAGUGGGGGACAUCAAUGUGACAGCUCACUGUCAUAUGGUUUAGCAAGAGAGGUGCUCUGGAGAGUACUCAUAACUUCUGUAUCACUGUGUGCUUGUGUCAAAAGUUCUUAUUGGGGGCCGGCCUGGUGGUGCAGUGGUUAAGUUCACCCAUUCCGCUUCAGAG